rnacentral:rRNA from 1 species
GACAGAGGUCCCGAGCGUUGUUCGGAUUCAUUGGGCGUAAAGGGGGUGUAGGCGGUUGGGUAAGUCAGGUGUGAAAUCUCACAGCUUAACUGUGAAACUGCGCUUGAUACUGCUCAGCUAGAGGAUCGGAGGGGGUAACGGAAUUUAUGGUGUAGCAGUGAAAUGCGUAGAUAUCAUAAGGAACACCGGUGGCGAAGGCGGUUACCUGGAAGAUUCCUAACUCUGAAACACGAAAGCCAGGGGAGCAAACGGG